rnacentral:sRNA from 1 species
GCUUUCCCGCUCUCUCCAUGGUCUAUUUUUGCCUAGAACCUUUUAUUUUUUUUUCCAUUUAUUUCUUUAUUUUUUAAUUUCCCAUCUUCAAUUGCCCCUGAUAAGUCUCUACCUGCUAUUGUCAUUCCUCUUGGCCACUUCCAACUCAUUUUACCACAGACUUAUUUUUGGAGUCUGAUUUCAUGUAAUGGUCACACAGCAUACAACAAUCUCAUGCCCUCUUCACUGCCUUCUUUCAAGUCCAUCGAUAAAUGAGAGAAAUUAUUAGCUGCCAGUUUUCUUGGUUACAUUUUUUUUAAAUGUUGACUGUUUCAAUCUCAGAGUUGGAUGCACUAGGUGAUGAGCUUCUGGCUGAUGAAGACAGUUCUUAUUUGGAUGAGGCAGCAUCUGCACCUGCAAUUCCAGAAGGUGUUCCCACUGAUACAAAAAACAAGGAUGGAGUUCUGGUGGAUGAAUUUGGAUUGCCACAGAUCCCUGCUUCAUAGAUUUGCAUCAUUCAAGCAUAUCUUGUAAAACAAACACAUAUUAUGGGACUAGGAAAUAUUUAUCUUUCCAAAUUUGCCAUAACAGAUUUAGG